GUGCUCGCCUGGGCAGCACAUAUACUAAAAUUAGAAGUUCACCCGUACAUGGCCCCUGCCCAAGGAUGACACGCAAAUUCCUGAAGCGUUCCAUAUUUUU
rnacentral:snRNA from 1 species